CAGGGCUAUUAGAGGGCCUCCGAUUGAUUAUUUCUUUUACCUGAUUAUAUUAUGUUAAUGCAUUCAUACUACACUGUUGAAAUUGGCAUGGUACAUUCUUUAUUGAAUCUGUUAUAAGAUUGAUGAUUGAGACAGUUGAGAUAUAUAUGCUAUAUACUAUUUUUCUGGGAAAGUAUACAGGUUUUCCAAAAAGGGGUUAUAAAUGUGGAUUUAUGAAAUGAUUUGGAAAAGCUUGAUUUUCGCCCACUCACGUUUUCUGUUUUUCGCCCCUCCAGGUUCUAGUUGAUAGUUGAGGCGUUGGUGGCCUACGAGGACUGCUUCGGCGUUCUGACAGACUAAAUAAAUGUAGGAUUCACCCGAGGGUGUUGUAAAUUAGUUAUGUUCCUACUUGACUGCACCUAGAUGCUUAUGCUCUGUUUAUGUGUGUUUAGUACACUCUUAUGCACAUAGAAUGCUCGGUUGUAAAUAACUGCAAUUAGUGGUUUUCGUUGACUCGUAUUUUAUUAUUAAAUCGUUUCCGCUUGCGUUAUGGUUACGUCACACUCACGUGACGGCCAGCACGUCCUAGUCUUCGGGUUAGGGUGUGUCACUUUUGGUAUUCCGUGUUUUUUUCAAAAACUAGUGAUUUGGGUUUUUUGUUAAAUUAAAACUAAUGGCCAGGAAAGGAGGUAAUAUAUUUUUAUAUGGUAUAGUACUAUUGUUUUAUUUCUUUUCAUAAUUAUUUUGGUAAACUUCUCAUAAUUUGAAUGGUUUUUAAUGUUGGGUUUUUCUAUACUUAAUUUAUGCGGAAGAGAGUUCUGAUCUAGAAAACCUUACUAAAAACAUCAUCAACAUAACUCUUGAAAGCAAUAGAUCAAGUCAAAGUUUCAAUACAAUUUCCUCAUGAUGAUCGAUGAAAAUUGAUGAUUUUGUAAAAGAAAUAACAUGCAAGCUUUGAGUUCCAUUGUCAAGGUUUAAACUUUUGAGAAAGGCUUCACAACCUUUAAUAUUUUGUAAUAGACUAGUAGUGUAUGAAUAUUUUUUUAUUAGGCUUUUAUUUUGGAGUGUAGAUGUAGUACUUAAACGACAAAUGUGUUUUAAUGUUUUGAAGUAAUAUUUAUGUGGCAAUGUGUGGUAUGUGAAAAUUUAAGGAAAAAAAUAUAUUUUUCUUAUAGGGUCAUAA
rnacentral:lncRNA from 1 species